CAGGACUGCGGUGGGGUGAGAGUGGGCGAGGUGCCUGGACUCGGCAGCUGUUAGGUCCUGACUGGGCUUCUGUGGAGGUGGCACGAUGGAGCGAUCUCCCCAAGCCCUGGGUGGGCGCAGGAACCAGGCCCCACGGCCACGUGGACUCCACACGGCCAGCACGCUGGCAGCAUGGCUCCCUCCCAGACCUUGCGGCUGGCGCAGACCUGACCCCCAGACCCGACCACGCUGCCGGCCACCUGCUGCCCCUGCACACGUGGCUCCGCUGCUCCUGCCUCCCUCCCCCUCCUUUCUGUAAGACUCAGUGGAGUCCCCUCCUCCAGGAAGCCUUCAAGAUCACGCAGCUAGGUGCCCCUGCCCCGAUCCUCUCUGGAGUCCCCUGGACUUAGUCUUGUCCACCCCAGGGACCCUCUGCACCUCUCAGGAUUCAGAGGGUGGUGGAGGGCAGCCCUGGGGGCCCUCAGGACCCUGCCCUCCUCCUCAGAGGCCGCUGGGGAUCAGGUGGGGGGUGGGGUGCCCUGGGCCUGGCUCCAUGCUGGCAGGAAGCUGCAGGUGAGUCUUCCCUCCCCCAGGCGCUCCCAGUGCAGGGAGGGGGCUGAAGUGUGAACAGCUGCCAGGGGUGUCCAGAGCUCUGCAGCUCUCAGCUGCUGCCCGACUUCAAAGCUGCAGUCCCCAGCCCCAGUCCACUUGCUGGUUGGGAACAACACCCGCAGCACCACCUGAGCCCCCCCUGCCCUGGAGAAACUGUCUCCCCAGAACUUAGGCUCAGGAACGGCCUCGCAGCAGACAGCAGGAGGCAGAGGUAAGAGUGGGGGUCUCUCCGGGCGGCUGCGCAGCUGUGCUCCUUCUGGAGGCUCCAGGGCAGAACCCCUCUUCCCAGCGGCCAGCAGCCGUCCUCCAGUUUUGCCUGCGCGUGGCCGGCACCCAUCGGGCUCUGCCUCUGAACCCCCGCCUCCUCCUCUGCCUCCCUCUUCCACGGUUAAGGACCCCUGUGAUUACACUGGGCCCACCCAGGUAAUGCAGGACACUCUCCCUGUUUUAAGGUCAAUGGGUCUGCUGCUUUACCUACCUGCCACCACGUAACCUAGCCUGUGCACGGGUUUGGGGGGUUCAGAUGAGGCCAUCCCUGGGGAGAGAGCAUCCUGCCUUCCCCUGGGCACUGCUGUCACCUGGUCGGUAGAGGCUGGGGUGCUGCACGAGACCCACAGUGCGCAGGGCAGCACCCCCAACCUGGAAGGACCCGGCCCUGAUGUCAGCGGGGCCCCAGCUGCAAAACCCCCAAGGGGGGGGUCUGCACAGCGGGCAGGUGGGCUUGUCCUGGGAUACCCAGAAAGGAUAGGGGGUCGCAGAGGCACGUGAAGUCGAGGAGAGGCUGGGGAAGCAGGCUUGGGUGUCGGCUGGGAGCAGCGGGGGGACCCAUCCAGAGCCCCACAGCCCCAGUGGGGCAGGACGCAACCCGGCCUCCACUGCCAGGGGACACUGCAGCACGGCCACCCCACACCUGAACCCCGCCUUCACCCUGCCUCCCCCACGGGUGAGCCCCUCCCCAGGCCUCGGGGGUGUCCUGCGAGGGGGAGUGGCUCAAGUGCUCCUAUGGACAGGGGCGGUGGGGCGAGAGGGGACAGCCCCCAGCUGGUGACCCUGGCCAGCUCCGACACCUCAAGCAGGAAGGGGCCAGGGGCUCAGAGACCUUGGCGGGGGCAGCUCGGCCACGGAGGACUGGCCGGGCGCCUGGGAGACGGAGUGUGUGACCUUCCCGAGUGCCACCGACAGUGCCCAGCACGGCCCCCGUUUAAAAAAAAUGACUUCACUGGCUUUGCAGAAAUACUUGCAAUACAACAAAGGUUGCAGUUUUUAAAGACUCGCCCACAAUCCGAUCACUGAACUAACAGCUGCUAACAUUCGGUAGAUCACAAAAACGUAAGAGAGGGCUUCAGCUGUUCUCAGCAGCCUGCUUCAGCGUGGACAGCGGUGACUGACUCUGGCUCCGAAGGGGGAGCACCUGCCCGGACGCCCGCAGUCCCCACGGGAAGAUCGACGGGGCCACCUUCCGCCCCCCGACCUGCGCACUCCCCGUGGGCCCCGUGCCGUGCGGCGAGCUCGCUGCCAGGACUUGGACCAAAGUCUUCGUUUUGAUUUACAUCUUUUUCGGCUGGACUUACGGACCCUGCCUUCAAGCCCGGAAGGUUGCUGGAGAAACCAGAGGCCAGGCGGAUCUUCUUGUCCUGCUAUGCGAUACGCUCUUUCUGAGAAAUGGCUACGUUAGUCCUUGAGGUUUACCAUGUUUCCCCGAAAAUAAGACUUAACCAUAAAACAA